GAUCCUGGCUCAGGAUGAACGCUGGCGGCGUGCCUAACACAUGCAAGUCGAACGAAUCUCUUUUAGAGAUGAGUGGCGAACGGGUGAGUAAUACAUAGGUAACCUGCCCCUGUGCGGGGGAUAACAGGAGGAAACUCCUGCUAAUACCGCAUAGCCAUGAGCACCGCAUGGAGCUCAUGCCAAAUAUCCUUUCGGGGAUAGCGCAGGGAUGGACCUAUGGCGCAUUAG
rnacentral:rRNA from 1 species